GGAGGGAGAAUAGGAUUUUUAUUUGUGUAGGGCCUUUGGUACUGAAGAAGUGCAUGAAUAGGGCAUGAUGCAGGAGCUCUUGGGAUCGGUAUAGUUGAAUGAAGAGCAGGAUAAAAUCAUGGUAUUCAGCUAGUUCCAUGUAAAAAAUGCUCAUGUUUAGAGACGUUGUGUAGAUGUAUAGUCAGUACACUAGUGGAAAACUGAGCUUUAGUCCUGGUUGGUAAGCCUCAUAGCUCUCGAAAAAACAACCGGAACUAACUAUUCGGGACUAAAGAGGGGCCUUUAGUCCCAGGUCAUUCACC
rnacentral:lncRNA from 1 species